CCCUUAGAUGUCCUGGGCCGCACGCGCGCUACACUGAACGGAUCAGCGCGUUUUCCCUUCCCGAGAGGGACGGGUAACCUGCUGAACCCCGUUCGUGGUAGGGAUCGGGGCUUGCAAUUAUUCCCCGUGAACCAGGAAUGCCCAGUAAGUGCAAGUCAUAAGCUUGCGUUGAUUACGUCCCUGCCCUUUGUACACACCGCCCGUCGCACCUACCGAUUGAAUGGUCCGGUGAAAUCCUCGGAUCGAGCCGUGGGGCAACUCCGGUUCGAGAAGUUGAUUAAACCUUACCAUUUAGAGGAAGGUGAAGUCGUAACA
rnacentral:rRNA from 1 species